rnacentral:rRNA from 1 species
AGAGAGAGACAUGCGCGCAUAUCAAUAAGCGGAGGAAAAGAAAUUAACAAGGAUUCCCUUAGUAACGGCGAGUGAAGCUGGAAGAGCUCAAAUUUGAAAUCUUCAAGGUUUUACCUUGACGAAUUGUAGUUUAAAGAAGUGUUUUCUGCCUGAAGUUUUGGUAAAAGUUCUUUGGAAUAGGACAUCAUAGAGGGUGAGAAUCCCGUAUUUGACCAUUAUUUUCAGCUUUGUGAUACACUUUCAAAGAGUCGGAUUGUUUGGGAAUGCAGUCCAAAAUGGGUGGUAAAUUUCAUCUAAAGCUAAAUAUUGGCGAGAGACCGAUAGCGAACAAGUACCGUGAGGGAAAGAUGAAAAGAACUUUGAAAAGAGAGUUAAACAGUACGUGAAAUUGUCAAAAGGGAAGCGUUUGACACCAGUGUUGUUUUCUCGAAAAUCAAUUAAAAAUGGCUCGAUUUUGUAUUGUUGAGACCUUAAAAGCUCACUGUACAUUUUUCGUGUCCUUUUUUAAUGCACUUUUCGUUUAACAAGUCAACAUCAGUUUCUUUUGUUGUAAAAGGGUCAUUGGAAGGUGGCUUUCUUUUCGGAGAAAGUGUUUAUAGCCUUUGGCCUCUGCAAUCGGAGAGACUGAGGUCUGCAGCGUAGACUCUUCGGGGUUAGAUACAUUUGUGCUAAGUUAUAGCUUUUUAUAGACAACUUGUUGACUAUAAUUAGUCUUGUAGCUUACUCGCUUAUGCUAUUUUACCUACGCUUAGGAUGUUGAGUCGUAGAGCACGCAG